UUUUCAUCCUUGAUGUUUGUGUUACCAUAGCUACAGUCUGAUGCUAUGAUUUGAAUCUUUUUUAGGCCCCAUACAACCUAAGGCCAUCCCUGACUCCACUUCUACUGCCAUCAGUUUCUUACCAUUUAGAAUAACUCUUGGAAAUGUGUUUAUUUGUGAAGCAACUGUUACUCAAUAGAGAGUGUAAUUUGAAAGUUGUGGGCUCCUACCCUGCCAUAUGUUGACGUGCCUCUGGGCAAAUGACUUAACCCAAAGUUGUGUAUCUAUCUGUCCAUCUUCAUUUAAUUUAACAAUGGAUGGAUCCAGUGGGUAGAGUAGUCAUCUCAUCAGAAGAUUGUGUGAUCAAUUUGAGCUUAAUCCUGUCACAUGUUGAUGUGCCCCUUGGCAAGGCACCUAACCCCAAGUUGGCUACCGAUCAGCAUAUCAGUGUGUGGAUAUGUGUGACUGGGAGAGUGUGACUGUAGAUCAAAGUGAUUUAAGUGGUCCAUAUGUCUAGAAAAACGGUAUAAAAACUGAGUCCCUUCACCAUUCAGUCUGGUUAUGGAUGAAUGUGAUUAUCUCUUUAUCUUAUUUUAAUAAACCGCUUUUUUCAACAGAGACAGACCUUUGAAACAAAAUGAAAAACAAAAUAUUUGCACCUGACCGAGGAGAGAUGAAGCUCAAUCUUUUUCUGCUCAUUCUGUUGGGUCAGUGUUGUGUAAUGUUUUGUCAUCUGUAUGAGUAUCACUAUGUUAAUGAGGAAAAGACCUGGACUGAAGCUCAGCAGUACUGCAGAGAGAAUCACACGGACCUGGCAACAGUGUCUGACAUGGAAGGCCUGAAGAGACUCCUCAAUAAAUCACCAGCAAUGACAGAAGCUUGGAUUGGUCUGUAUAAUCAAACAGAUGGUAUCAGGAGAUGGUACUGGUCUCUGCCGGAAGUGGAGUUCAUUGAAGAUGAGACAGAGUGGAACAACAAUGAGCCAAAUGAUCUCAAUACUGAAAACUGUGGGAGUCUUUUAAAAAGUCUAAAGUAGAAUGACAUUUCCUGUAGGCGACGUGGACAUUUUCUCUGCUAUGAUGAACGAAAUACUUCAGAGAAAUUCUAUCUGAUUAAACAAAAGAAGACCUGGUUUGAGGCUCAGAGUUACUGCAGAGAGAAUCACACAGACCUGCCCAGUGGGCUGGAUCAGCUCCAGGAUGUAAAGACUGAAGAAUGUUUUGAGCUCUACAGACGAUAAAUUUGUGUUUAUGGGUCUGUUCAGAGACUCCCGGAGGUGGUCAGAUGGAAGCAGUUUCUCUUUCAGACACUGGAGCAAAGAGUUUAAUGAUGAACAAUACAACAGUGGUCAAUGUGCCAUGACUGUGUUUGAUGAUGAAGGCAGAUGGAAGACUGAGAACUGUGCUGUCAGAAAACCCUUCAUCUGUUAUGAUGAAAAACUGAUCCUGAUCAAAAAAAACAAAACCUGGGAGGAAGCCUUGUACUACUGCAGACAUCACCACCAUGACCUGGUCACCAUCACCAACCUGGAUGAGCAGAGAUGGGUCCAGGAGAAAGCCAAGAAGGCCUCCACUGAUUACGUCUGGA